AAAGAAAAAAAAACAGAUGUUCCACCAGACAGGAUUAAAUAUAGCCACUGAUUAGCCAGACAUUGUUCUCUGUGUAGGCCUCUAAGAUUAUACCACUUAACGCGGCAUGUCACUUUGCGUCCCCUGAGACAGUUUGGGCCACAAAGCUAGCUAUGAUGAUUACUUUUGUUUUUCAAGCCCAUACAGCGUCCGUACAGACACAUCCACAAUAAGUGGGCAAGACGGCUAAAGGGGUACAUACCCUUUUUAUUAUUUCCUGUGCAUAAAAGGGACCAAUAUCCUAGUCAAAAGAUGCCUCCCGCACCACAGGAUUCGAACAAGACCUUUCGUGGAAUCCCACAGGUUGUAGCUAGUGGUGGAGGCCCCCCAAGGACUGCAACUCGACCGGGAAACAAGUUGGGAUGCAUGGAGGUGGAAAUCCUGAACCCUCAAACGGGAAGGCCCAUGUAUGUUAUUGAUUAGGUACAGAUAAAUGUGUGUGGUUGUGUGUGUACAGAUUAAUAAGUGUGUGUGUGUGUGUGGGGGGGUGGUGGUGUAUGUAAUAGAGUGUCUGUCGGUGUGUGUGAGUGCACGUGCAUGCAUUUUCUCCAGCCUUUCAAUUGCAGCAGGGUCUCUUUGUUCACCAUCUACUGUAGCUAGUGCUGGCUGUAUAUUUCUCCUCUUUGCAAUGAAGGGUGUCGGCUAAUGGAAUGGGGUAUACCGUUCCCCACCGCCUCUCCUGUUGUCAGUAGAACACCAGUCUCAGUGCCAAGGCGAGAGAGUGAGAGAUGGAGAGACAGAGAUAUUAUGACCAGGUGCCAAUGCACCCUGAGUGUCCUGUGCAGACUGUCAUUUCUCAUCGAGGCUGACUCGAUAACAGAACCUGUGCCCCACCUUUAUCGAGCAUCUGCAAUCUCUACUCACUGUGCAACAUAGCACAGCCCAGUUCUCUCUUUUGGAGAGGGAUUUGCCCAGGUGCGUCUCUCCACAACUGUUCUUGACGUGAAAAAUACACUUCAUAAAGCGGGGUGCUGCAGCACCCUCAGUAUACCUACUUCCUGCAGCGGGAAUCACGUUGGAUGUGUUCACGGGAGCAGGAACCCUGUGGAGACAGCUGGCAUGCCACUGAGAUCAUCUGCCAGUUGAAAGGUCACUGGGCCCAGUUGACAACUGACCUGACUUGGAAAGGACCAGAAGGUGCUCAGUUUGUUGGCCUGAUGAGAUCGACGGGCACUGACCGAGUCAGACACCUUGAUGAUUGUCGGCUGAGCUCUGUGCUUCUUAUCGAACUUCUGCUUCAUGUCACGUUGAUGCUUCUGCACUGAAGACCCAACUGGUGGGUGAGGUGGCAGUGCCCUUG
rnacentral:lncRNA from 1 species